rnacentral:lncRNA from 1 species
GACUCUAAUACUGAGUGAAGUCAGUCAGAAAGAUAAAGACAAAUAGCAUAUGAUACCACUUAUAACUGGAAUCUAAUAUCCAGCACAAAUGAACAUCUCCACAGAAAAGAAAAUCAUGGACUUGGAGAAUAGACUUGUGGUUGCCAAGGGGGAGAGAGAGGGAGUGGUUUGGGAGCUUUAGGUUAAUGGAUGCAAACUAUUCCUUUUGGAAUGGAUUAUCAAUGAGAUCCUGCUGUGUAGCACUGAGAACUCUGUCUAGUCACCUAUGAUGGAGCAUGAUAAUGGGAGAAAAAAGAAUGUAUACACGUUAUGUACAUUAAGGAGAAAAAAUUGUAUUGGGGAAAUAACAAUUAAAAAAAUUAAAAGAAAAAAUUAGCUGUAAUAUGAUACCACCUGCAUAAUUUAAAAGUCUACAAAAUCAUAGUAUGUAUUGCUUAGUGAUAAAUACAAAUAAGAAAUAUUAGAAUACCCAACUACAAAUGACAAUUAUUGAGUUAAUUAGAGUUGAUUAGCUUUGGGAAGGAAUGAACUUAAUGGAAAUAAGAAAAAAAUUUAGACAGAACCCUAUCUAUAACUAAAGCAAAUAUGGAAUAGUGUGAGAAUAUGAUAAAUCCAAAUGCUGAGCAUGUAUUUUUCUAUUGUCUGAGUUUUUUGAACUACUUAAUAAUUUUGAAACACUAAUUUUAAAAGCUUAAAUGGAGUAUAGUUGACUUAAACUCGUGUCAAUUUCUGCUGUGCUGCAUAGUGAACCUGUCAUACAUGUAUAUACAUUCUUCUCAUACUAUCUUCUAUCAUGCUCUAUCCCAAGAGACUGGAUAUAGUUCCUUGUGCUGUGCAGUAUGAUCACACUGCUUAUCCAUUAUGUAAUAGUUUGUAUCUACCAAGCCCAAACUCUCCAUCAGCUCCACUCCCUUCCCCCAUCUCCAACCAAAAAAAAAGGGGGGGGGGGAAGGAAGGAAGAGGAAGCGGAGCCACUGUUCUCCAGCUACAGAAUCAUGCCCUCACUCCUCUGUAAACUGAAAAUUAAAAGGAGGAAUAAAGGGAUAUAAUUAGACCUAAGAAAAGAAAAUAAAAAGCUUAAAUAUUGUAUAUAGCAGAUUCAGAUUUGGGGAUUUUGGGGGAUUUUUUUAUAUGUAUGAAAAUUGCCUUUGAUAUGUAUAAUAGGUAAAAUGUCAAUUGAAUGUAAGAAUCAUUGGAAGUGCCUCCUCAGGCAUGAAAAAUGAAUCUGUAAGAGAAGAUUAAUUAGGGAUAUUAUGGGUUUCAUUAUCAUAAGGGAUUGUAUUUUCUUAUUGAGUGAGAGAUAUAUAUUCAUUUUUACAAGAUUCAACUCUCAGCCCUGAGUUUGACUUCAUAUAUAAACUCAUGCAUAUUCAAUUUUCUCUUGGAAAUACUGUUUUUUUUUUUCAAAUUAUUGUUUCAAAGCUCUUUUACAAGAAAAGGUAGUCUCUAAAAUUGUAAAUAAGUCAGCAAAUUUGUUUGGCUACUAAACACAAUGUGUGCUUUAUCUCAGCAAGUAAAACUCAUGGGAAUGCAUUCUCACCAUGUCUGUCUAAGACACAUUGAGGCAGUGAAGUUCGAAGGUGUUAUGUUCCUGUAGAUUUCUAUUAUAGUAAAAAUCCUUGAAGCAUGAGAAGUUUGUAGCCAUACCGAUUUUCUCCCAGCAUGCGAUGCAGAAUUUAUAUACUCCAUUUUGCUCCCAUAAAAGAAAAUCUAUUGCUAAAAAUAAUGGUCCUGAACAAAUUAUGUAUUGAAAGUGAUCAAAUACCUCCUUUUAAAAUUUCCACUUUUUAUAUGACAUAAAAAUAUAAAUUAGGAAACAGGAGUUUGAAGAAAAAUGGUUAAAGUUGUCAUGGCUUUUAGCAUCAACUUUUAUUUUGCUAUCUAUUUCAGAACUUGAUUUAAAUAUGAUUUGAGGCAAUAAUUUAUUUAAUUGCAUAUUUUAUUAAGCCAUUAUUAAAAUAUGUUUUUAGGAUGUCUUCUAAAUUAUAUACUCCUAUAAUUCACUCAUUUUUAUUUCCACUCAUAUUUAUUUUAUGGACUUAUUAUGUGCAGGAUAUGGCAGGCCAAAAUGUGUAAGGAACACAUAAUUUAGAAUGCAUUGAACAUAUUUAUUCAUAUAUACAUUCAAAGCAUUUACUAAGUGCUUUUUAAUCAAAUAUCUUAUUGCAUAAGAGCUCUGAAAUGUAGAUAUUUCCUUAUGCUGAUUUUGGCAACUCCUCCCUUCAAGACAUGGGCUCUAUUUCCCAUCAAUUGAAUCUGAACAUUGCUUAUGAUUUUAGUUUCUGGCCAAGAGAAUGUGGUAGAAAUGACUAUCAUUUUUGAUCUUAGGCUCUAACACACCCAGUUGCUUUCUCUUGGAACUCUUGCUGCCAUGUGAAGAAAGCUCAGGCUACUUAAUUGAAGGAUGAAAAAUUAUGUGGAGUCUAGUUGUCCUGAGACUUCCUCUUUCAUUCAUCACCAGCCAUCCUCCAAUUACAUGAAAGAGCCCAGCCAAGAUUGGUAAAGCUGCCUCCCUGAUACAAUUCUCAUUGCAGAUGUAUAAGUAAGCCCAGACAAGACCAGAGGAACUACCUCAUUAACUCACAGACUAAAGCACAAGAAAUCUUUAUUGUUUUAAGACACUGAGUUUGGGAUGAUAUGUUACAUAGCAAUAGCUAACUGACACAGCAAUCUUUAGAAAAGUGACAAAAUUUAGACAAGUUAUGUACACACCUGUACAACUUCAAAGCUCAUGUUCUUACCAUACACUGUGUGGAAUAAAAAUAAGGAAGUAAAAGAGCACAGAACAAAGUUAUAUAAUUAUUCCAAACAGGUAGUAAUUACUUUGAAGUAAUUAAGAAAUCUGUCAUAAGGAAAAUAUCCUUUGGAUUAGGUCCCUAUUAGCUGGAGAAGAAGGUUUUCAAAAGAAGCUAAAAAUCAUGUUCAAAGAAUGGCAAAUAAUCCUGUUACCCAGAAAGUACAGUUGAUAUAACAGAACAUUGGGAGAUAAGGGCCCCAAAGUGAUUUUUAUUCAUAUUGGGUUUUUAAAAUUCAGGUAAAAAUUUAUCUGGAAAGAAAUAUUUCUUGGCUGAUAAGCAGAAAUAGUAAUUGGUUGAGAGUUUUGAUUAAUGGACUGUAAUUUAUUCAUGUCUUCAAAUAUACUAAUAUUAAAGUAUAAUUUAUAAUAUAGAAUCACAGUUUUAAUAAGAAAAUAUAUUUACUGCUUUAAAUGACUCAGUAUAAGUGAAGAGAGAAAACACUGGAUGUGAAAUUCCCCUUAGCCAUUUACUGUACAGACCCAGACAAGAUACUUAAACUCUCUGAAUAUUAGUUUCUUAACUUAUAGAAUGGAGCUAAUGGAUGUCUAUUUUAUAAGAUUAUUGGCAAAAUUAGAUGUAAGGUGUAAAGAAAUGCCGGGCACAUAAUAAACACUUGAUACAUAGUAGCUAUUUUUUUAACAUAAUUAACAUUUAAUAUGUUUAAAAAGUCUCCCUUUUAUUAUAAAUAAUGUUAUUUACGAAUAACAUUUAAUGAGUAUUCAUUUUAUUUAAUGAAUAAAAUGUUAAUAGUGACUUUAAGUGAGACAAUCAUGAAUAAGCUCUGUGACACUCAAGUGCAGGGAUUACUCAUAUUUUACUUAUAUUAUUUCUUAGAUAAUAUGUCAAAUAGAAACACCAAUCCUAUCAAGUAAUUAUACUAGUAGCACCUACCUAUCCCCCUAUUUUAUUCAGUAUCCCUAUUUCCUCUACAAGAUGAAAUGUGGAAUGAUAUAUAUCAUGUUCCAACAUUAGAAAAUUUGAGUUAGUGAGUUUUGUUGCUAAGAAUAAAGUAUAAUACAAAUCCUUGUAAGACAUGGUUAAAGAAUGAACCAGCAAAUUGGGAAGGGGCUAAAAGAGGGGUAGGAUCAUUUUCCCCUCAGAGGAUUAUUAGCCUCCUGUAUAACCUUGUCAUUGUCUUAAGAGUCCUUAUUUUAUCAGGAAGUGGCAAUCUGUAAGGGGAUAAUGAGGCCACAUAUCAAUUAUCAAGUAGGGAACAAAGUUUAAUGUGACUCUAUUAAAGAAGUAAAACCAAAUAAUAUAUCUUUUUAUGAAUAUUAAAUUAACAUAUAUGUGCAUGUGAGUUCAUGUUGAAACUACUGCAUUUUUCUACAUUUUAAAAAUUGUAGUUGAUUUAGAGUGUUGUGCCAAUUUCUGCUGUACAGCAAAGUGAUCUAGUCAUACACACAUAUAUACAUUCCUUUUCUUAUAUUAUAUUCCAUCAUGGGCUAUCCCAAGAGAUUGGAUAGAGUUUCCUGUGCUAUACAGUAGGACCUCAUUGCUUAUCCAUUCUAAAUGUAAAAAUUUGCAUCUACUAACCCCAGACUCCAAGUCCAUCCUACUCCCUCUCCCGUCUCCCUUGGCAAUCACAAGUCUGUUCUUUAUGUCUGUGAGUCUGUUUCUGUUUUGUAAAUAGGUCCAAUUUGUGUCAUAUUUUAGAUGCUACAUAUAAAAAACUACUGCAUUAAUAUAUACUGUCCCAAGUAAAAAAUUGGGGUGAUUUUUGAAAACCGAAUAACAAAAAGUUUGAAAAUUUUCAGUUUUUAGACUUACUUAUUGUUGCUAUUGUUGAGACUAUAUAUUAUUUUAAGGAAAAAAGGAAAAAUCACUUACAAAAGUACUCACUGAUAACUUAAUUAUAAUAGUGAAAAAUUGGAAGGACUUAGUGUCUAAAACUAAAAAAUGGUUCAAUAAGUAGCAGAAUAUCAAUUUGUAUACUAUAAACCAUCCAUUUAAAAUGUAUUAUUGUGAAGAAUAGCAACAUGUAAAGAUGUUUAUAACAUACUGUCAAGUGAGAAAACAUUAAUGUGUACACUGAAAUUUCAAACACAUAAAAUUUGUUUCCUUAUGAUCAAGAGAGCAUAAAAAGUAAAUAAAAGAUUUGUUAGUAAGGUGGAUUGCAAGAGAUUUUUUUAAAAUGCAUCUUUUCCAUUAUUGGUUAAUGCCUCAUGCUACAAGAAGACAGACUUAGAAAUUAAUAAAAUGGAACUGAUUACUCCUAUGUCAGACCUUGGAAGCACCUAUAAGUUAAUUCUUUACAGUUUAUCAAUAUCAGAAUAAUUUCUUAUUUCAAGAAAUGCUUCAUCUUCUUUAUUCAGCAGAUUCAAUUAAAUGUUCUUAAGCAGUAAACUGAUAUCAAUCUGAAAUAAAUGCUAUGAAAAUAAUAGGCUUGAAGUUAUAUAGUCUGCAUUGGGUAGAGUUUAAAAUGUAUGGUAAUGGGAGUUCCGGUCGUGGCGCAGUUGUUAACAAAUCCAACUGGGAACCAUGGGGUUGAGGUUCCAUCUCUGCCCUUGCUCAGUGGGUUAACUGUGGUGUAGGUUGCAGACGCGGCUCAGAUUCCGCGUUGCUGUGGCUCUAACGUAGGCCGGCGGCUACAGCUCAGAUAGCCCCCUAGCCUGGAACCUCCCAUAUGCUGCGGGAUCGGCCCAAGAAAUGGCAAAAAAAAAAACAAAAAAAAAA